GAUGAAGAACGCAGCGAAAUGCGAUAAGUAAUGUGAAUUGCAGAAUUCAGUGAAUCAUCGAAUCUUUGAACGCACCUUGCACCCUUUGGUAUUCCGAAGGGUAUGCUCGUUUGAGUGUCAUUGUACUCUCACACUUCUAAUUCCUUUCGGGAUUGGGAGCGGUGGACUUGGGUGUUGCUGCUUUAGUUGUGGCUCACCUCAAAUAAGUUAGUGCAACUCUUGGUUGGACAUAGUACGGCGUGAUAAGUGUCUUCGCCGGCGCCUCUGUAAGGAGAGUGGCCGAUCGGGAGCUCUGUGCUUCAAACCGUCUUCGGACAAUCUUUGACAACUUGACCUCAAAUCGAGUAGGACUACCCGCUGAACUUAAGCAUAUCAAUAAGCGGAGGA
rnacentral:misc_RNA from 1 species